AGCACCUAUGUCAGACUCCGGGGGUGGGGUAGGGGGGGGCGGGGAGAGAAGCUCCCUAUGGAAGGUGACACCUGAGCUGACCCUUGAAGGAAAGGAUGAACCAGAUGCCCUUGAGGACACUGGGGAGAGCCUUAACCUGCCGCAGGAACAGCUCGUGCAAAACCUGCAGCCCUGAGGAAGGCAUCAUUAUGGAUGAAGAAGGUGACCGGGGCCUCGUCUCUCUGCGACAGUCGUUGCCAGCUCCAUGAGGAUCUCAGGAGUGGCGGUCACCUGGUGGGCCCCUGUGUGACAGGACUGAGUUCUCAACCCGGCAGACCUAGCUAUUCCGUAAUGUCCGUGGCCUCGGAAGGGGUCGGCGUUUCAGGACUAACUCGCAUCAAACUCACACUCCGAGUCCGACAUGUUACAAAGAGACUAGGGUGCCGACGGUCUGAGCUUUUUCUCCCUGCGAGAAGGUGAGCACCAGGAGGCAAGCAGGUUGCCUGGGGACACGGAAGCAGACCACAGGCUUAGAGCCCAAGCCGGGGAGCUCUGAUCACCGAAGGCCCUUGUGUCCACAGUGGGGUGGCCAGCCACGGGCUGCACAUCUGAACUCCCGAGGCUACGUGUGCCCUGGCCAACGUGUAUAGAUGUGGCCUCCCUCUGUGGCCUUUUCUUCCUUAACCACCAUGCCAGCCACACUGGCCACACUCCUUACAUACAACAAUCUUCUUUCAGCAGAUUUCACAAUCCAGCGAAACAACAGACUGGUGGAAAAGUUCAGACCAGCAGAAACAGCCACACUCUGGAAACCACACCCUGGAUGCCCUACUGAGAUUCAGAGCGUCCACAAGUCUUUGGCCUCCUCUCGACAGACGGUGGCGUAGGGCAGAUGCUGUCCACACGUGGCAAGAAUCAUUCCCUUCCCCUGGCCUUUUCCAAAUCCUUAACAAAAGCUAAUUUUAAUUGAAGGACGAGGGCACCAGACUCCCACCCUCUCCAAACUUCCUUAACUACCCAGUUUAAAGAGGAGGAGUUUAGAAGACGUUCAGUAACUUGCCCAAAGUCACAGAGCUAAGAAUUGAUGGCAUAAAGAUUCAGACCCACUGUGUUAGGUACUCUUCCCCUUAAGACUAUUAACCAGAAGGCUUGCUAGGCACCAGGCACACGUCCUCAGAACUUCACACGUUUCUUCACAUAAUCGUCACGGCAACACGAGGAGACUGCUCUUGUCUUCGUUUUACAGGUGAGGGUUGAAGGGCAGAGCGGUGAAGAAACGUGCCAGAGCCACAGGGUCACACAGCUACUAGAUUCAAGAGCCAGGUUUCAAACCAGUCUGUCUACCUCUCCACCCAAGCCCUUGGCCACCCCAUUCCACGGCAGAGCAAAGCCCAAUUUCUGCAAUAAGUCAGCCCCACGGUACCCCCCGGGUGCCGCCCUGGGGAGAAGCAGUCUGCCCUCUGAGUGACGAGGAAAGGGAGCAGCAGACCGGUCCUGGGCUAACCAAAGUCCAGGGUCACACCCUCCACAUUGUCAGUCUAGGGAUUAGGUUUGUAUCAGUUUCCCAGAGAGAAACAGGUUCAGGCGGCCUGACUUCGGAUGACUCAACCCCCAGGGGUCUGAGCCAAACCCAACUAAUUUGAUUCACCUGUAAGAUACCCGGGCCAGGAGGUUGUGGUCCAAAACCCUGGCUGUGCAGUGAGACGCAGCUGAGUCCGAAACUCUGUCCACCACGUCUGAGCCCUGAGACUUUGGACAUGUUACUCACCCCCUUUGAAGCCUAGUUUCGGCCUCAGAAAAUGGGGGAAAUAAUGCCAACCUUGCCCAAGGACCGCAGCAGAUGUGUGUGAAAUGCUCAGCAUGGUGAUUGACAGUAGGAGCUCAAUAAGCAGUAAUGCUUCUGAUUUUCAUUAUUAUUGUUUGAACACUGGGCUUGGCCUCCUGAUAACCCCCACCCCCACUCAGUGGGAAGGUCACAUUGUGAGAAACGGAUCUGAGCCCAGAAGGUUGUUAGGUGAGCCCAAGUAAGAGGGUGGGGCCUGAGCUCUCAGCCCAAUAGAGGGACGAGGUGCUCCCACCCUUUCCUCCCAGCGAUAGGGCAUUUCUGUUUGUACGGCCACCCAGUGCUGGUUUGUACUCGGAGGCCCCUCUACUCCCAGAGUUGCUCCUCAUAACAGAGUCUCCUGUCUGGGUACUUCCUACCCACUGAAAAACAGCCCGAUGCCACCUCAUCCUCAUAGCCCCUGGUGGGUCAACUCGUGUGCCCCCUGGCCAAAUACACUUCCCAGCCUCCCCCCACUCCACCCUGCCAGGCAGAGGGAGAGCAGUCACAUGCUGAUCAUGCCACACGCGCAGUCCAGGCCCUGGGACCUAACAGUGGAGGGCACAGAGGCGGCUCUUCCCUCUCUGGAGCUUGCGGUCUAGUGGGACAAUAAUCAAAGCGAAGAAAUAAACCAAAUCAUUCCAGCUUCUGGUAAUUACUAAGAGGGAAAUAGCCGGUGCGAUUGAUAGACACUAACUCUGUGGGCGACGGGGUGGUCAGGAAAGGGCUUUCUGGAGAGCUGUCAUUUACCCUGAAGCUGGAAGGAUGAGAUGAAGCGAGCUUUGCCAAAAGCUAGGAACAGAGGGUUCCCGGCAUAAGGAACAGUUCUUCCCUCCCAAGGAAGGAAAGAAUUUGGUGUGCUUCUCAAUGAUCAGAAAAUCAGGCUGGAGCAGAUGGAAGCGGUGGGAGGAGGCGUGGCAAUCAGAUACGGGCAGAGUCCUGACUCCUGUGUGCCUCCAGCCGGAUGUGCGAGAGCGGCAGUAAGGCUUGCUAUUUAUUGAGCAGCUAGUAUGUGCCAGGCAGUGUGUAGGCACUUUCCAUACACUCUCUCGCUGCAUCUUCAUUCUCCCUGCCGCCCCUCCCAGGACACGACAUCCCUACUCGUGCUCUCACCCACGUCUUGCUGUACCGUCAGUAUUUCUCUGCGGCUGUUUCCCUGCCCACUCUCCCAGCCCCCCCCCCUCCCACCCCCCUACCACCCACCACUAGACUGCAAGCUCUUCUGUAAGCCAGCUUGGGACCCCAGCACACAGCACUGGAACAGGGCGCUCCCGUGUCUGUGGGGUUUUCAGCAUAACUUGGGCAGUUGGGGUUUAAGGGGUCAGGAGCAGACAUUGACGCGUUUCAGAUGAAAGCCUGUGAUGAUUUAAGAACACCUCAGCUGCCUCAGUAGCACGCUCAGCUCAGAGGUAUUAUUCAGGUCAGCUAGUUCCAGAAUGCUUUACAUAAGGGGCGUGUCUCACCUGCCUGCCCCCUGAGGGAGUGGGAUGGUCUAGAUAGGUCACGUGGACCACGCAGAGGGCGGCAACGAGUCUGUACCAUUCAACUCAUCAUCACUGAGCACCUGCUAUGGCUAGUCCCUAUCGCAGAUGCUCUGUUGGACAUAAAAAUGAGUGCAAGGUCCUGUGCCUCCAGUCACUACACUGCAGGGCUGACUGUGCGCAACACCUUCACGGAAGGACAAGCAGCACGGUGAUGGGGAGGUGACCGACACAGCCGGGGCCAGAUCACAGAGCGCCUCGAAUGCCAGGACUUCUGCAUGUGUACAGAAGUCCACAGAAGAUACCAGAAGUCCACAGAAACCAUGAGCCUGGGCUCCCACAACACGAGCUGCUGGUUUAUUUUGGGAAGUGACGCCUAGAAACAGGAGUGAGAAGCUGGGGAGAGUAACCAGGGAAGGGGAGGAGCCAAUGCCAGGGUCAGGUACUGGCUUGGUGGGUCUAGUGGAAAACCUGCAAUGGAAACCAGGGACCCCUAAUGAGCUCCGAAGGAAGGGUACGUACUUCACCACUGGCUCUCACUGAUCACAAGAUGGUUAACUCCCUCCAGCUUCCAGGGUUCCACAAAUGUCAGAAGGGCAAAACAGCUUUUCUCAGGCACUCCACAUGGGGGGUGGCAAGAGGAGCCCUGGGCAGGAAGUGAGAGAAAUAAGGUGCUGGAAGCAGUUGUAGCUGGAGGCCAAGGUCUGGCUGGAAUGAAAGGUGGGCUGAGGGGCGCCUGGGUGGCUCAAUCGGUUGAGCUUCUGACUCUUGAUUUGGGCUCAGCUCAUGAUCUCACGGUUCAUGAGUUCAAGCCUGCAUC